UUAUAGUUCCUAUACCCUGCUCGGUCAAAAAGCGAUUGAAAUCGUUACAUCACCGGCAGACUCAGUUGCAAUACUAACCAGGUACUAUUUUCUGUUCAGUAUACCUCUCUAGCACACGUAGAUAGGCAUAUACUCCAUGCAUAUAGGAAAUUUUUAGUUUUUUAAAAAUUUAAAAAUUAAUUAACCUUGCCAUUAUCUUCAUACCUUACAUCUCUGCGGGAUAUGCAGACUGAUGUCACUGUACAUUUAGAUGUUACAACUAAUAUAGGUAAUAGUCAUAUUUAUUCUCUAUAUGAACUAAUAUGCACUUGCAGAUAUAUAUAUCUUCAUAAGCAUGAAUGUGUAAUCUAUUCCUUUUUAUGCUAUACAGCAUUAACGGAAUUAACCCUGAAUGGUCAGCACACUACCUAUUUUUGGUAUUUCUUCUGAAAUUAUUCUAUUAUCGCGUCCAUCUGACAUACAGCCAUGAUUAUCGUCAAUUAACAUCAGCAAGGUAAUCCCACCAUUUAAUUAUUAUCUUUCCCCUGUUUUGAGCAAUUCUACCUAUACGGUGUGCCUUAGCAAUUAUAUUAUACAUAUUCUUUUUUUUCUCAUUUUUCAUUUUUACUUCUUAUUUUCCAUUUUCAGUUUCUGCCUGCCUCCGUCCUCUUUUUGUCUCUCUAGGCCAGCUUUCUCUAUGUGGUCUGCUCUUUGUGGGACAGCCAAGCUUAGGCUGUGCAGAGACCUUUCCCUCCCCUAGUGGGAUUACAUCUGGGAUCUGAUCUCGCCACGGCACAUGCCCUUAACCAUCUACUCCGUUUGUGCAAGACUAUCACCCUCCACGGGUUCCUGACGAAGCCCUUUCGGGCGAAACUAGUUGAACCCCCAAAAAACGUGGGCUGUGAUGAAGAUCACCUGCAGUGUCUUGCAUGUGUAAUACAUCAUACAAACUAUAGUCUGACUGUUUUUAAUAUGUACUAAACAUUUAAUAUUGAUCUUUUGUAUUUUUCUCACUUUUUGUAAAAAUAAAUUUAUGAUA